rnacentral:lncRNA from 10 species
UAGGGAAUAUGACAUUUCACACACCACCUAGUUCUAGGUUAAUAUAUGAUCAAACUGGUUAAAAUAGAGGCUUUAUAAUCAUGCUUGUGUUUAUGUUUUGGAGGUGGAGCUAAUGUCCCAUAGAGAAGAUUAUGCUUCUCAACAAAUGUCAGAGGCUCAUCUAGCUUGCUACCUUACUAACCUAUGAGUUAUUAAUUUUUCAUUA